CUCGGCUACCAGAAGGCCCCAGCAGGAACGAGGAGAGGGAGAGACGUGCCUGGGACCAGCGGCUGGAGGAGCGAGGCCGCUACUCUCUUGGCUCGGCCACGGCCGGGCCCAUUCCUCCCAGCCACACACAGCCUCAGCAGUUCCUCCUCGCCGGCCUCCUCAGACUGGCUCUGACCAGGAUUCCCAGCAAACAUCGCAAAGACUACAACUCCCGGAAGGCAUCGCGAGAAAGAAAUUAGCGAAGGAAACAUCUAUUGAGGGCCUGCUGGAAUCGAGUCGCAAUAGCAGGUUUUUGAAAUAUGGCUGACUCUUUGAACUCGGCAGUUCUUCUUCUAGGAAUAAAUGCAUCCUCUAGAAAUACUUCCAAAGUUUGGAAAAGUGUAUACACCAGGAUGUUUAUUGCAACCUUGUAAGUGAAAGAUUGGAAACAAACUCAUUCAUUCAACAAAUAUGUAUGUGCCUAAUAUAUGUGCAGCACCAUGUAAAGCUAUGUUAACUUGGCAAAUAA